GCCCAGGUGGUGAAAUCGGUAGACACAAGGGAUUUAAAAUCCCUCGGCCUUUAUGCUGUGCGGGUUCAAGUCCCGCCCUGGGCACCA
rnacentral:tRNA from 1 species